GCCAGGGGGUGGACGGCAAGUCGGUAAGGGCAUAUGGCUAUCAACCUGAAGGUUGUGGGUUCGAUUCCCGCCCUUUGCA